UACGUAGGGUGCGAGCGUUAAUCGGAAUUACUGGGCGUAAAGCGUGCGCAGGCGGUCGUUCAAGUCGCGUGUGAAAGCCCCCGGCUCAACUGGGGAGGGUCACGCGAUACUGAUCGACUGGAAGGCAGGAGAGGGUAGUGGAAUUCCCGGUGUAGUGGUGAAAUGCGUAGAUAUCGGGAGGAACACCAGUGGCGAAGGCGACUACCUGGCCUGUUCUUGACGCUGAGGCGCGAAAGCUAGGGGAGCAAACGGGG
rnacentral:rRNA from 1 species